AAAUUGAAGUUGAGGGAGUUUUAUAUUAUAAAUUAAAGUUAAGGGAGUUUUAUGUUACAGCGUUUGAAGUUCAGGUGACAUAGAUGUAAUUUACCAGAGAGAUGCUAGUUGGCACUUCCGUGUUCAAGAAAGGAGGGUUAGCAAAAAGUUAAUAAUACAGUUUAAAACUCCGGCACAAAAUAGAUACCCACAAAAAAGGGACGUAUAAUUGAGAACAAAAUCUAAAGUGUGAUGUCAUAACUGACUCAUAAAUAUUAAAAGAAUAGGCAUUAGAAUAUGUUGGUAAAACUUGUUUUUAGUUUGGUGACACCUAAGUCAUUACAGUUUAUAGCCUUAAACCAUACAGGCUGUUCUUUUAGAGGAAUGGAAAAAUUAAAUAAAUGAGGAAAAAUCUUCACAUAGGUCGCAUAGAUCUAGGGGAGAAAACAACAUGACUGCUUCCAAGGAAAGUUUUGUUGCAUUAGGGAAUGAGUUCACUAGGUUUCUUUGGAUCAUGUACACAGGUACAUACACUAAAUGAUGAAACUAGGUCUGGGAUUAAUACUAAGAACUGCGAACAUUAUUGAGUGAAAGGAACAAAAAUUUAUUAAUCUAGGAAUAGGAAUGGAGCUAUAAAGAAACUUGAUAAACAAGAAUUACCUGAGAGCAAUCUACAAGGAGAGAUCUUGAUGUAUUUAUAGAGUAUAGUCCAUGUUUGGAUGUGAUGAUUUGAAAUAAGGAAUGGAUUUGAUUUUAGAGUAAAUCAAUUCUAAUAAAAGUUGACUUAUUGUUUACUUAAUUAGAUUCAUAAACAAAUAUUUCAUUUAUGAAUGUGGUUAAUAACUCAUUUUAAGUAUAUUUAAAGAAGAAACCUUUUCACAAGACAUUUUGAAUCCACCACUGAAACACAUAUAAAUAUAUAAAAAUAAAUUA
rnacentral:misc_RNA from 1 species